UUUAUGGAGAGUUUGAUCCUGGCUCAGAGUGAACGCUGGCGGCGUGCCUAAUACAUGCAAGUCGAACGAUGAAGCUUCUAGCUUGCUAGAGUGCUGAUUAGUGGCGCACGGGUGAGUAACGCAUAGGUUAUGUGCCUCUUAGUUUGGGAUAGCCAUUGGAAACGAUGAUUAAUACCAGAUACUCCCUACGGGGGAAAGAUUUAUCGCUAAGAGAUCAGCCUAUGUCCUAUCAGCUUGUUGGUAAGGUAAUGGCUUACCAAGGCUAUGACGGGUAUCCGGCCUGAGAGGGUGAACGGACACACUGGAACUGAGACACGGUCCAGACUCCUACGGGAGGCAGCAGUAGGGAAUAUUGCUCAAUGGGGGAAACCCUGAAGCAGCAACGCCGCGUGGAGGAUGAAGGUUUUAGGAUUGUAAACUCCUUUUGUUAGAGAAGAUAAUGACGGUAUCUAACGAAUAAGCACCGGCUAACUCCGUGCCAGCAGCCGCGGUAAUACGGAGGGUGCAAGCGUUACUCGGAAUCACUGGGCGUAAAGAGCGCGUAGGCGGGAUAGUCAGUCAGGUGUGAAAUCCUAUGGCUUAACCAUAGAACUGCAUUUGAAACUACUAUUCUAGAGUGUGGGAGAGGUAGGUGGAAUUCUUGGUGUAGGGGUAAAAUCCGUAGAGAUCAAGAGGAAUACUCAUUGCGAAGGCGACCUGCUGGAACAUUACUGACGCUGAUUGCGCGAAAGCGUGGGGAGCAAACAGGAUUAGAUACCCUGGUAGUCCACGCCCUAAACGAUGGAUGCUAGUUGUUGGAGGGCUUAGUCUCUCCAGUAAUGCAGCUAACGCAUUAAGCAUCCCGCCUGGGGAGUACGGUCGCAAGAUUAAAACUCAAAGGAAUAGACGGGGACCCGCACAAGCGGUGGAGCAUGUGGUUUAAUUCGAAGAUACACGAAGAACCUUACCUAGGCUUGACAUUGAGAGAAUCCGCUAGAAAUAGUGGAGUGUCUAGCUUGCUAGACCUUGAAAACAGGUGCUGCACGGCUGUCGUCAGCUCGUGUCGUGAGAUGUUGGGUUAAGUCCCGCAACGAGCGCAACCCCCUUUCUUAGUUGCUAACAGGUCAUGCUGAGAACUCUAAGGAUACUGCCUCCGUAAGGAGGAGGAAGGUGGGGACGACGUCAAGUCAUCAUGGCCCUUACGCCUAGGGCUACACACGUGCUACAAUGGGGUGCACAAAGAGAAGCAAUACUGCGAAGUGGAGCCAAUCUUCAAAACACCUCUCAGUUCGGAUUGUAGGCUGCAACUCGCCUGCAUGAAGCUGGAAUCGCUAGUAAUCGCAAAUCAGCCAUGUUGCGGUGAAUACGUUCCCGGGUCUUGUACUCACCGCCCGUCACACCAUGGGAGUUGUGUUUGCCUUAAGUCAGGAUGCUAAAUUGGCUACUGCCCACGGCACACACAGCGACUGGGGUGAAGUCGUAACAAGGUAACCGUAGGUGAACCUGCGGUUGGAUCACCUCCUUUCUAGA
rnacentral:rRNA from 1 species